CUAUUAACAAUUUGUAUCAGAAAUUCUUCUAUAAAUUUCUCCAGGGGCAUCAUCUAAUGAUUCCAACUACAGGGAUAUCUCAGAAACUUAUUGAGGAAUUUAUUUAAGAAUUCCACCAGUAUCUUUAUCUGCAAUUACUGCAGGGACUUCAGCAGACUUUUGUAAAAGAUUUUUUUCAGAAAUUCAUCUACAAAUUUCUACCGGAAUCGAUCCAGAAAUUUUUCAAGCAAUUUUUCCCUGAAAUAUUACUUUCAGAGCUAAUCAGCCAUUCAACCAGGGAUAACUCCUGAAAAAAAAAUGUUCACGAUUUUUUGUGCGGGAAUCUCCUCAGAACAUGUUAAAGAAUUUCUUCUAAGAACUUUCAAAGUUAUCACCAGGAGUUUCUUGAGACAAUCAUCCAGAGAUUUUUGUAGUGUUUCUUUAAAGGAUUCUUUAAAACUUCUACCCGUUAUUUUUGUGAAACUUCUGCAAGAACUUCAUGAAAACAAAUUCCUCUAGGAAUGUCUAAAACAAUUCCUACAGGAGGAAUUCAUCCAUGCAGGGAUUUUUGAAGAAAUUCCUCACCUAAAUUCCAAAAAAAAUCCCUUAAAUUCCGUCUUUGAACAAUCCCUGACGAAAUGUCAGACAUUAAUUUCUGGAAGAAUCCCUGAAGCAUUUUUUGGAUACUUCUGCACUGUGGCUUCUUCCGUGGAACGAUCCAAUUAAUCUCCCUCCUUAUUCGGAAAGAUGCAAACUGAUAGGUUUGGAACCACUAUCGCUCAGGCGAGAGAACAUGCAACGUUUAUUUGUCUUCGACAUAAUCACGGGAGCAAUUGACUGCUCCUCGCUUCUUGAGCAGAUUCCGCUCAACAUUCCACCUCGUCGGUUCCGGCACUCUUCUCUUUUGGCUGUCCCCUAUCACCGAACAAACUAUGGUUACAAUAAUCCACUUGAAUUGUAUCAGCCUAAUUGUUUAGAUCUUAAGAUAAUUUAAUUGUGUUGGUAUAUAAGUUCAGUCUGUACAAUGUAUGUCGAAGACGGUGAUAUAAAUAAAUAAAUAACUAAAUAAAUAAAUAGAGUCCCAUGAAGUACUCUUGAAUAAAUAUCUAGAAGAAUAUUUGAAGAAAUGAGAAAUUCUUGAAGAAAUCCCAGCAUGAAUUUAUGAAGAACUUUCUGGAAUAAUACUUUGAGAAACUUCUCUGCGCAAUCUGUGGACGUUUUACUAAAGGAAUUCCUACAGGUAUACUUGGAGAAACACCUGCAGAAACCUUCUCAAAAAAUCUUAAAAAAAACUUUCGAUAUUUCUAACUCCCUUAUCAAAUUCCUUUUACAAGUACCUAAGAACAAAAUCUAAAUACAUUCCUUAAAAAAAUGUGAAGAUAUUCUUAGAGCUACCCUUAAAGGAAAUGCCGGAGAUAUUUGUGAGGAAAUACAUGAGGAAAACCUGCAGGAAUCUCUACAUGAACUCCUGCAGAAAUCUCUCUCCCUGCAGAUUUUUUUUGGCACAUUCUGGAGGGAAUUUUCAAUAAAAUUCUUAGGAUAUAUUACAGCUCCGGUGAACUUCCUGAAGAAAUCUGCGUGCGAAUUUCUGAGGGAAUCUUUGGAAAUGUUUCUGAAGUAACCUUCGGGAGAAUGUAUGGAAGAAUCUUUGAAAUAAUCAAUGUAGAAAAUUUGAAAAAUUCUCUGGUGAAACAAUCGAAGGGUUUUCCAAACGAAUCUCAAGAAGAAUUUCUAAAGCAAUCUCUAGCAGGGUUUCAAAAGGAACCCAUUGAAAUCUACAUAACAGAAUUCUUAGAUGCAUUUCUUAAGAAGUUCUUGAGGGAAUUUCUGAACGAAAUUUCGGAAAGAAUCCACGGAGUAAUUUUGGAAGCAAUCCAUAGAAUAUUUUUUUAAUACCCGCCGCUGACCCCCAUACCAAAAAGCUCGCACAGAGAGCAUUCUGGUGAUGAACACUUACUAAAUUAAAACAAGAAACAAAAAACGCGGGACUUGGUACUACAAAGGAUAUUGAAGGGAUUCACACUAAAAAAAAAACAAAUAACGAGAAAAACUAACAACUAACGUGUGUGAAACUUAAGGGAAUUCUUGAAAAAAAUAUAGAGGAACCUCAUAACCAGUUUCUGAAGGAAUCUACAGAAAUCCUUCAAGAAAUUUAUGGAGGAGUUCUGAAUUUAUAAUUUUCUGAAAGAAUUGCUGAAUGUAUAUUUGCAUAUUUCGUGUAUGGUUUCCAGGAAUAAUUCUUGUGCGGAAUAUUCAAAGAAUGCAUGCAGGAAUUUCUGACGAAACCCAUGGAAACUUUUCUAGAAGACUUCUUGGAGAAACUUCUUGAGGAUCCUCUGCAGAUAGUUCAGAAGGAAAGUCCAACAGGAAACCACGGAAUUUGGCCCACUGCCAACUACGGAAUUCGAUGGUCGGCACACUGCCGACGACGAUACACGAAAAGUUUGCGGAUUUGAUGGACAACGGCGGAAAACGAUGCUGGAUUGUUGGCUCACUGUCAACGACGAACGAUCGACACUUGUUGUUUGGCACACUGCCUUUCGCGAGAAAUUUCUACUGCGUGGCUUCGCUUCCUCGGAAAAUCAAAGCCCUGAAAAGAACUUCCGAAUAAUUCUUGAGUGAGUAAGCAAGGCUACCAGCAGAAAUAUUUCCUAAAAAAUGCACCGGAGCGAACAGGAAUCAGGAACCACCACUUAUCACUGUUGUUCGGAUUUUUCUUCUACGAGUUAAACACGAAAGCUUCUCUCUACUGGAUGUUUAUUCGGUGAAAUUUUUAGGAAUACUGACAAUGGUUUUGGGUUGGUGUGCUUAUUUAUAGGUGCGCAAUAGGAAUGACAAAGUGUACAACGUCUAUUAAAGCUAACUAUGAUUGGCUGAUUACAUUUUCGUUUUGGUAGAAAGUAUUAGUAAGAAUAGGUUUGUGUUAGUAUUAGCGGGAUGGAGGCCGUUACCGCGGCUGACUCGGGUUAGUACAAUGCGGAAAGGAGAGGGGAAAGGAAACGGAAACAAUGUUGUUACUGCUGUCAAAUGUCACGUUUGACAUACGGUGAUGCCUCAUCGGCCCGAAUAAUCCUUGGCAUGGGCGGCAGGGCUCCCAAAUAUUAUUCGCUAUUGCGAACAAUAUCUAUGCAUAUUUUCUGAAGGAAUCCUUGGAAGGAUUCCUGAAUGAAUUUUCAGAGAAAUCUCCAAGAGCAUUCCUGGCAGAUUUCAAGGAAUAACUGAAGGAAUCACUAUAGAAUUUCUAAAGAACUUCAUGGGAUUAUUUCUGAAGCAAUCUUUGUACGAUGUUCUAAAAUAGCCAUUUGAGAAAUUGUGGAGGAAUAGUCUGUCAAAUAUCUGAAUAAAUCCCUGUUAGAAACUGUAAAAAUCCCUGGAGAUCUUUGAUAGAUUAUUUUUUUUUUGCAAAGAUUUCUGGAAGAAUGUCUGGAAGAAAUUCCAAUAUCAGUUUAUUUUGCACGUAUGAGGGCGCACUAAAUUGAGAAACCCACAAAGGUCACAUUUGCGGACUCAUAUAAAUUGAGGUGGUAUAAUUACAUUCCCAUGGGUAAUCUUCAAAUACACAUGGAGGCACACACAUUGUAAUAAGGAGUGUAUCGGAAAGUAGUUGAAAAUGUUUAGAAUGCUCUAUCUCGAAGCUGGGUUGGUCUUUUCAUUUCGGUUCUUCUAUGAAAUCUUCACAAUAUAGUUAAGUUUAGAAUACCUUGGAAUAAUUUGGCAAAUGUUUUGUAGUAUUGAAAAUAUGGUUAAAUGAAUACACCUCACAAAAUAAAAAUCUGCACAAAAUGCAAUUUUGUUAAGACUUUUCAACAUUUCAAAAAUCUGUAGCGAGUAAAAUUUGUACGAUAGAAAAUCUGGAAAAUAUUGAUGUUUGUUAACAGUUAUGUACACGUAACAUAUCAUUCAAAACCGACUUUCAAAAUUCAUAUUUUCGAUAGAAAAAUCUCUUACAUCUACAAAAUGGUCCACUCCAAAAAACGUCUAUUUUUUAGUCAAACUUUGAAGUUCUGCUUUUAAUAUCUUAAAAGGUUAUAAAAUUCUAUUUUUUGCUCUAACUUACUCGUCUAUAAAUUAAAAAAAACAUACCUUAUUAAAAAAAUGCUAACUUUUCAUUUUAUGUAUUUUUUAUUUGCGUAAACAUGAUUUGGAGGAGCAUAGAAAAAAGGGGUUCCUCAAAAAUGGCCAUUUUUCAUUUUUAAGAAUUGCGCUUAAAUGCAGUGGAGAUUUUUCUUGAAAAAAAUAAUUUGCCUAUAUCAUGAGGAUUCUGGAGCUUUUUAUAUUUGCACAAAAAAGUUAACAAUUUCGAACAUAAUCGAACUAGGUUGAAAACCCAGCUAAAAGAAUAUUUAAAAAAAAAACAUAAAAGCCAUUUCUUUUUUCAAGGAUUUAUACAGUAUCUUCAAAAAUAAAAUUACUCAAAAGUUGUAUUAAACUAUUUUUGAGGUUAGUUUAAACAUUUUCAACUACUUUACGAUACACUCCUUAUUCACAUGAAUUAUUACUUUAAGUUUAUGAGAGCGUACACACUUAUUUUAGAGUCACUUGUUCGGCUGUUCUAUUUUCGGUAAAAGUUCGGAUUACCGAAGUUCAGCACAGUUUUACCGAAGUUCGACUAACUUUUACCGAACGUUCGGUAAACAUUACCGAUGAUUCAGUAGAGUUUACUGAACGUUCGGUAAUUUUUUGACGAACUUCGGUAAUCUGAAAUUUUACCGAAAAUAGAACAGCUGAAUACGGUACUUUAUUUUAAGUGUGUAGAACUAUGGGAUGAAUCAUAUACAACAACCCCACGUAUGUGGCAACCCUAUUCCCUCCUAAUGCAUCUGACAGGAGCGAACACCUAUCGUAUAUUCACAAUGGAAUGCUUUGUGGAUACACAAAUGUUUAUGCACAAAAUUAUGGAUUCUUAAAAAUGGCGGCCUCGCACCUUGGUGAUCAACCCCUUGAAGAAAGCGUUAGUUCUUGAAGCCACCGCUUUUGGUGGGGUGUCACGAGUUUGUUUACGAAAUUUAAGUCUGCUGGCCAAUCUGCUACGUGCGGAAGUGAACUUUGUUGUACAAAGAUAAAUCCGUAAUCGAGAAACAAUAAUUUCCACAAAUUGUCCAAUGUGUUUAGUAUGCCUUGUAAAAUUUACAAGACACUCAAAUAUGAAAUAAAUGUAUUAAAAACUCAUUAAAAACAACGCUGAAGUCAAUAAAAUGUGACUGUUGCACCUGCUCCAACAAAAAAAAAAUCACUGUGUAUUCAGCUUAAUUCAAAUCAGCACCACGUUCAGCACCAAUUUUUUGGCUUCACUCCAGUUGUACGUAUGACAACCAUUUCAGAGGAUUAGUUACACUCUACAGAUACUGCGGCUCCCCUAGUUACACUGAAAGUUGCCUUGCGGUUGAAAUUACUACUCUGCAGAAUCAAAUAAAAAAAAACAAUGCAACGUCAACAAUUUUAAGUUCUCAAUUUUACCAUGGUACGGUGUCACACUUAUAGAAGGAUUCAGCGUUCAACCGGUCUCAAACCCAGAGCCUCGUGAUUGACAAACUCACAAGCUACUCGACCAUCGAACCAAUUGAUGAGGGAGGGAUCUUAACGCAACCGAGAAGCCUAUGUGGUGUGACAAUCGCACUUUGCCAUGGUAAAUUUAAAAAAAAAAACAAUUUUGUGGUUCUUGUCACCGCAAGAAGUACUGCAUGCCGCAGUUGUCAAGAUAUUUUUUCUAAGUCUUUCACGAUUCGGAAUUUUGUCAGCUAUCGGACUUAUGCCGUAUGCGUGGGAAAGCGUGAUGAUUUAUUAAUUGAGGUCUUUUCAGGAUUCCGCUGAAAAUCCAUCCGAGAUUCCUCCAAGAAAUCCUUUGCGGUUUUUCUACAUAUUUGUUCCAGGGUUUCUCCAGGAGUUUCUUGUUGGAUUUCCAGGGAUUUUUCGAUGAGAUUCUUCCAGGAGUUUAUUGGGAUUCCAUUGAAAGUUUUAUCUGAAAUUCUCAAGAGUUUUUCCUGAGAUUCCGCCUGAGAUUUAUUCAAGAGCUCUGGCCAGGAUUCCUCCAGCAAGUACUCCCUAGAUUCUUCCAGAGAUUUUUUCUAAGAUGUCCUAAGAAAUACACACUGAGAUAACAUGCUUCAGGAGUUCCUAAAUUCAAGUUCAUUCCGAUAUUUCUCUAGAAAUAAUUCCAGGAUUCCUCUAGGAAUUCCGUCUAGGAUCACCCUAGCCAUUUUUCCUAAGAUUCCUCUGGAAUUUUUCUCCACUAUUAAUUUGUUAAAGUAUUUUCUUCUGUGGUUCCUCAGGAGCUCCAUCUGAGAUUGUUUUUGGGGUUCGUUCAGCAGUUCCCUCUUAUGCCCCCUCUAAGAUUUCUAAAAUGUUCCUACAAGAACUCUUUUCAGGAUUCCUUCAGAGAUUCAGGGACUUCAAAGGAUUUUUUUCCGAAAUUCCUCCAGGUGUUCUCUCUGAGACUUCUUCAGGAGUUCCUUUAACGAUUCCUCUUUCCAAAAUUCCGCCUGGAAUUCCUUACAGGAAUUUCAUGCGAGAUUCUUCCCGGAGCUACUUCUGGGGUUUCUGUUCUUCCAGGAAAUCGACAAAAUCUUUUUUCAGUAUUCCUCCAAAAACUUCUCCUGGAUUCUUCCAGGAGCUCCUUCCGGGAUUCUUUCGGUACAACUGGAAUUAUUGCAGAUGUUUCUAAAGGACAUUCUCCAAGAGUUUAUUUCAAGAAACUUCUCCUGCAGUUUUCAUUUAUGACAUUCCUCAUGAAGUUUCCACAGGAUUUCUAUGUAGAAAUACUCCAGGAAGUUCCUUCUGAUUUCCCUUCAAAGGGGUGUCCUGGAGGAAUCUCAGAUGUAACCUUGAGGAAUAUUAGAAGAAAUUAAAAUCGCAGAAGAAAACUCUAAGGGAAUGCUAAAUAAACCUCCGGAAACAUCUCAUUAGGAAAUCUCGGAAUCCCACACACUCAAUCUUGAAUUGCCUCUUCGGUACUUUUCUGACGCAAAUAGAACGGCAGAACUAUUUCGGUAUCUUCAGUAAUGGGUUUUACUGAGGCUCAGCGUACAUCAACUGUCAAAAACGAGAGGAAAAGAUAAACAACCAACUUUUUUGUGUUCAGCUGUUCUAUUUUCGUCAAAAAUUCACCGUACUCGGUAUUCAAAAUGAAGUGUGCAGAAAAAACUCCUAGAAAAGUCCUAUUAAGCCAAUAUCAAUCGAAAAACAGUUGUGACAUACUUAAUUAUGUUAGGGACUGGGUUUUGGACUGCUGGAAGGCCAUACAAAUUUUCUUGAAUUUGAACUCUAUGAGGUGGCAUGGAAAGCUUGGUAUUGUAACCGUUCGUAAACUAUUCUUGAGGAUUUGGUUAAAGCACGGUGGCUUAAGCGCCACUCUCAAAGAGAGACCACCGGUCGUGUUUAAUUUUGCCCGACUUUGCUAGAGACUUUCUCACUCAGGGACGGUUUUGAACGGUUCAUGGAAAUAACGGCAGAAUUUCUUCGAAAACGCAAACUAAACUCCAACUCUUUCACAGGCUAGAAGAACUUAUGGAAAACCGGAAGGGAUGCUUACUCAUACGAGCGAAAACGGAAUCAAAACGUAACGGACUGUACAACUUCAUUCGUAUUGGACGGGAAAUUCGUAACGGAAUGGAAAAAGAGCAAACAUGGCCAUGUAACUAAAAGCUCUUCACAUACCUGCGCAGGUUUUGGUGUUGCGAUGCUCGAUGACGGGGUGGCGUAGCUCGACGACUCAACGAUGGCGACUACCUCGAUGCUCAACAGCGGCGACAGCAGAAUGGCGGCUGCCGACGAGUCCGUGCUGCGAUUUGGCGCGCAGCGUCGACAAAGGGACCCGUGUGCGGUAUGGCCGAACUACCGGUGCGGAGGGAGUGGCGGCUGGACGGAAGCUUCCGAUUGUUGGACGAACGAGAGAGCUUCGGCGGAUGCCGAUCGAUUCCCGGGAUGGUCUUUCUCCGGUCAAUAAAGGCGCAAACAGAGCCCAGCGACCCGGCUUCGCGUACUAUGCUUCCAGCUAUGACCGAGCGGGGAAUGCCGCAACCUCUAUCUUCCUAGAUACGGACCGGGUUCGUAACGUGCAAUUGGCGACACGCUGCUACGAACCGGCUCUCGUUGAUUCCGGCCCACGGGGUAUGACGUAAGAGGGCCUUACCGUCGGUGAUUGGCGGCCGACGGGAAUACUUCGCUACGGAGAUGAUUGAGCGACUUCACUCGCGCCUCCGUUUGACUGCCUUCUGAAAGGCGGGCCUUUGCUGGGCACACGGGUCGGAAACGAUGACUCACGGACGAAACUGGCGGUUCAAUCCGCCUACGAAACCCCGAUUCGGCGAGGGAUACCGCCGAA